rnacentral:tRNA from 1 species
GGGGUUGUAGCUCAGGGUUGAGCACUUGCCUGACAUGCAUGAGGCACUGGAUUUGAUCCUCAGCGCCA